UACAGAGGUCCCAAGCGUUGUUCGGAUUCACUGGGCGUAAAGGGUGCGUAGGUGGGCAGGUAAGUCAGUGGUGAAAUCUCUGGGCUUAACCCGGAACUGCCGUUGAUACUAUCUGUCUUGAAUGUAGUGGAGGUUAGCGGAAUAUGUCAUGUAGCGGUGAAAUGCUUAGAUAUGACAUAGAACACCAAUUGCGAAGGCAGCUGGCUACACAAAUAUUGACACUGAUGCACGAAAGCGUGGGGAUCAAACAGG
rnacentral:rRNA from 1 species